rfam:Felis catus isolate Cinnamon breed Abyssinian chromosome D3, whole genome shotgun sequence.
AUCCGGUUGGCUCAGUCAGAAGAGCAUAUGACUCUUGAUCUUGGAGUUGUGAGUUUGAGCCCCACAUUGGGCA